UACGUAGGGCGCAAGCGUUGUCCGGAAUUAUUGGGCGUAAAGAGCUCGUAGGCGGUUUGUCGCGUCUGCUGUGAAAACCUAAGGCUCAACCUUGGGCUUGCAGUGGGUACGGGCAGACUAGAGGUAUGCAGGGGAGAACGGAAUUCCUGGUGUAGCGGUGGAAUGCGCAGAUAUCAGGAGGAACACCAGUGGCGAAGGCGGCUUUCUGGACGGUAACUGACGCUGAGACGCGAAAGCGUGGGGAGCAAACAGG
rnacentral:rRNA from 1 species